ACUCCUGGGAAAUCAAAGAGACUGGCUUUGAGCAGGGAGAAAGCAGAAAAAGGGCUGCAAAUCCCAACCAACACUCCAAAUAGCGUCAGGGCCACAGGUUCAGAAUUGGAAGAUGCUCACAUGCAUCACCUCACAUGGGGUGGUUUCAAGAGAAAACAUCCUAAGUCCAAUUUUAACUUCCAUUUCCAAUUCUCAACCUAACCCUCCUGCAUAUGCAACAACCCAGGGCUGAGCUGCUCACUUGGCAUUCUGCAGGUGCAGGUCCAGUGCCACCUGUGUGGGAAUCAGGAAGAUGUAGUCAGUGAUCAGAUCCACCACCGUCUUCUUCACGACCUCCUGCUCGGGUUUGUCACCCCAGCUCUGUGUGUAGAUGUUGUAGGUGGCGUUGGCUCCAGCCUCGCCCCUGUCCACAGUGAGGCCUUUGACCAAAUUGUACACCUGGUCACUGAAAAGACAAAUGAUAUUCAUUAAUUACUGACCAGCAGCUUCAGGUAGGACCAGGUCUUGCCUGGUCCUUUCUCUUGAAGGCUCUGGACUUGGCAACAAAAGGCCUGGGCACCCAGGCUUGAAGUGACAUCCUGUGUGGAAGGUUGUGCCCUGUCCACUCAGGUCUGACUCCGUGGGGUUUGGGAGCUACACUGAAGAGCAGAUGUCUCCUCUGAGGGUUCUGAGGGCAUCUCACUCACGCAGUGACCUUCACCAGCGGGCGGUUGAUGGCGGGUAAAUCUAUCCCAGCAAAGAUGUGCCCGUCCAUGUUAUUGACCCCGGCCAGGUAGUCGAUGUCAGCAGCGUUGGCAAAGAGCUUCUGUGGCACGUCUGGGAGGAAAUCCCCAUCCACGACUGGAGCAAGGGCGAGGGUGUGCACCAUGGGCACUGCAAGAGACAAGAGUGGGGUCUGUUAGGAGGUGAGGAAACACAGUUGUGUGCUCUGGCAUAUCCCAUGACCCAAAGAGCUCAGUAAAGAACAGGCCCAAGUGGAUGACAGCUUGAGCAGUGACUUCAGCAUGAACAGGAGGUCACCCAGAUGCAGGGUAAAUCUCAUGACUAUGGUUGAAGGAGAAGAGCAAGAGAUCUGCCAGGCAAACAGCACCUGGUAACAUCCACAUAUCCUCUCCUUCUUCAAAUCCCUUCCCAAAAACCCAGCCAAAGAUAGGAAAGAGCUGGACUUCUCAUCCCACCUGGCCAAGCUGUCUGAGUGUCAGGACAGCCAGACCAGAGUAUGCAGUUGAACGGCAGUGUUUUGGCCACUCCCUGGAUAAACGCUGUGGUUUGUGACCAGAAGCUCCAGGAGAAUCUUCUUGGGAAAGGAAUCCCCACAGGCACAAAAGCAGCAGCGUUCCUGCACUCCACCCAGCGACUCAAAUAGAAAUAGCAGGGGACAUGUGGCUGCACUGGUGGGACUGCUGAAGCUGAAGGAGGAGGAGCAGCUACAGAGCACUGAGGCUGAGCAUUGCUGUGCUGGCCAGGGCAGGACGGUAAUGAGGCAGCAGGUGGGGAGGAAAGCAGGUGCAGGUCCAGUGCCACCUGUGUGGGAAUCAGGAAGAUGUAGUCAGUGAUCAGAUCCACCACUGUCUUCUUCACGAGCUCCUGCUCAGGUUUGUCACCCCAGCUCUGUGUGUAGAUGUUGUAGGUGGCGUUGGCUCCAGCCUCGCCCCUGUCCACGGUGAGGCCUUUGACCAAAUUGUACACCUGGUCACUGAAAAGAUAAAUGAUAUUCAUUAAUUACUGACCAGCAGCUUCAGGUAGGGCAGAGCUCUUGCCUGGUCCUUUCUCUUGAAGGCUCUGGACUCGGCAACAAAAGGCCUGGGCGCCCAGGCUUGGAGUGACAUCCUGCGUGGAAGGUUGUGCCCUGUCCACUCAGGUCUGACUCCGUGGGGUUUGGGAGCUACACUGAAGAGCAGAUGUCUCCUCUGAGGGUUCUGAGGGCAUCUCACUCACGCAGUGACCUUCACCAGCGGGCGGUUGAUGGCGGGUAAAUCCACACCGGCGAACAUGUGCCCAUCCAUGUUAUUGACCCCAGCCAGGUAGUCGAUGUCGGCAGCGUUGGCAAAGAGCUUCUCUGGCACGUCUGGGAGGAAAUCCCCAUCCACGACUGGAGCAAGGGCGAGGGUGUGCACCAGGGGCACUGCAAGAGACAAGAGUGGGGUCUGUGAGAUGGCAAGGAAACACAGAUGUGUGCUCUGGCAUAUCGUAAGCAAAGGCUGAGAUGGGCAGUGUUCAUCAGGUGCAGUGUGCAUCUGCCCACAG